GCGGGAGGGACUAGGAGGGAGGACAGGAGCUACCAGGCUGCAGGAUCCGGGCAGUGUGGAGGGAAGGGCAGGCUGGAGCUCGCGGGUCCCAGAUCCCCCAGCAGUGAGCUGGCGGGAUCCGUGGACGCUGCCCUUUCUGAGUCCUGCAAAGCCGGCGCCGCCACCGUGCUCACGCUGCAGGUUAAGUCACUUAAGAGCACGUUGAAGAUAUAAUGACCUUUAUCAACAAAUGGAGUGGAAAUGAUUAGAUACCCAUGUGCAAAAAGCAUACAUGAAAAUUUUGAUCUGCAGACUUUGAUCCUC
rnacentral:lncRNA from 1 species